rnacentral:lncRNA from 1 species
AUCAAAUCGUUUGAUUUCUCAUAAAGAUGUAAAUGAAUCUUUUGUUUACUAGGUUUACAAAAGAUUAGUGUGAGUUAAUCAUGUUCCUAAAAUUUAAAUAUAUAUAUGAUAUAUUAAUUUUGGAAAUGAAAUAAAUACUUCUUCGUUAAAGUUAUGACUUUAAGCAUUAUAUAAAGAUAGAAUGUAUAUGCGAGACAUAGUCUAUAUACAUGGGAUGGGAAUCUAUAAUGAUAUAUUUCAUGAUAUAAUUGGAUUAUAUCAAGCCCUAAAUAAUAGACAAGAGUUGCUAGGAAGUUUCUCAUAUGAUGAUAAACUUCAAUUAGAAGGAUGACUCUAGUGUGACUAGCAAGUUGCCCUUCUCAAAGAGAACGUACUCUUUGACUCCCAAAGAAAUAAUGCGUAAAUAGAAUCCUUUAUGCAUACACAUAAAGGUGAUUUAUGUAUUUCAUAUUGUAUGAAAAACAUUGAUAUGAGUUGUACCUAGAACGGUACAAGACGAUAUCAGUGCAAGCCCAGGAUCAGAACCAUGGCAACUGUUAAGUGAGUCCUUAAGUAUUUAAGAAAUACUGAAGGAUAGAUUCCUCAAAGAUCGAGGAAGAAUUAGAGUAACGUAAUGGAAGCGUAAAUGUAUUAGAUUAUGAAUCUAAUCCAUCAUUGGAUGUUUCUUCAUUAUGAAUGAAGAGAUAAUCAAAUAUCUCUUUAUUAUGACUAAAGAGAUAUUUGGAUGGAAACAUUAAAGUAAUGACUUUAGUGUGUUCCAUUAUGAAUGCAAAAUAUAUUGCCAUAUAGAAGUUUACAACAAUGUUGUUUGGAUGGGAAAGUUCAUUUAUGAACUCUCUAUUCGGUUCCAACCAGAAAGUGUAUGACACUAAUGGGGCGAUAGCUCAAGCCAGGGAAUCAAGGUCUCAUUAAGGUCCGAACUCAUAUGAGAGACUGAACCACAUGAUUGAGAAUCAUGUAUAAUGGUGACGUCGAUAUUCUCAAGGUUGCUUCUAUGGAUAACAUAUAGAUAUCCAUUGUCUAGGCCUACUACUCAGCCAUUUAUGAAAUGACUACAGAAGAGGUAUCAUCACUGAUGACCAAGCUGAUUGGCUCUCAUAACCCGCUAAGAGUUCAAUAUAACUCUCGAAUUCUAUUGAGGGAUGUGGAAUUUGCCAAAAAUAGUGGGUGGUACUAUUUGAUUCAAAGACCCAAUCAAAUAGUUUUAAACAAAUAAUCUAAUACGAUUUCUGUUAUGUUAUGUAGUGAACGACAUGCCUAAA